UAGGGAAUCUUCCGCAAUGGGCGAAAGCCUGACGGAGCAACGCCGCGUGAGUGAUGAAGGUCUUCGGAUCGUAAAACUCUGUUAUUAGGGAAGAACAAAUGUGUAAGUAACUAUGCACGUCUUGACGGUACCUAAUCAGAAAGCCACGGCUAACUACGUGCCAGCAGCCGCGGUCAUACGUAGGUGGCAAGCGUUAUCCGGAAUUAUUCGGCGUAAAGCGCGCGUAGGCGGUUUUUUAAGUCUGAUGUGAAAGCCCACGGCACAACCGUGGGGGGUCAUGGGGAACUGGAAAACUUGAGUGCAGAAGAGGAAAGUGGAAGUCCAUGUGGAGCGGUGAAAUGCGCAGGGGUAUGGAGGAACAACAGUGGCGAAGGCGGCUUUCUGGUCUGUAACUGACGCUGAUGUGCGAAAGCAUGGGGGUCAAACAGG
rnacentral:rRNA from 1 species